UAAUGUAAGGUACCGGACUUCUAAAAUUAUGAAGUUACGGUGUACAUUUGGUUUGAAAGCCAUUUGAAUGAUUUCGGUGAGGUUGCGGUGGAAUGUAAUAUACCGGAUUUUAAAUAUAAAAAUAAAAACAAAUAAAAAUAGUGUGAGAUACUAUUUUUAUUGAAUUUAGAGGAGUAAAACAUAAGUCAGGAGUGACUUGUGCUGAAAUCGGAAUGAAAACAGAAGAUAUAGAAUUUUCUGUUGGAGACGGGACAGAAAAAUAAGCAGAAAAUGCACAGUCUCAGAAAAUUAUGAAAAUUGGCGGAGAUGUCAGAAAUAUUUUUAUGAGGCUAGAUUUAAGGUUUCAUAUUUUUCUGACACCCAUAGAGUGAGAAAUAAAAUCCGAAAGCUAUCUGAUAAAGAUUGCAGUUCGGUACAGUUUUCAGUGACCAAACGGGGUCGAAACUGAACC
rnacentral:lncRNA from 1 species